AGGCCUUGGAUGUCAGCUGCCUGUCUGGUUCUAUUGGCUGUUACAGAAGCUUCGACCUCCCUACAAGAGCUAUGGUAGAGGUCUUAACUCCAUAUCAGAGAACCUCUUUCUUGGGUGGAUGAAUUAAAAGAUAACCCCAGAGAUGCAACCAUGACUGUGGCACAUGGACAUUAUGGAUAGUGACGUUAAAGAAAUUAUGAUAGCAGAAAAACAAAACUAUCUUGAUAUGGUUUUCUGGUGUCAAUCAACAGACAUCAGUGUUCAUCAUUUAUGGGGAAAUAGUGUCAAAGCUGAAAUCUAGUCUGCAUCUCAUAAUGGGAUUCUUAUCAAGCCAGCUUGGUUCCAGAAGCCAGGGAGGUAUUUUCAAGGGCAAGAACCAGUGCUAGUGAAAUUCCAUACAGUCUCUCAGCAAGGAUUUCCGAGAAAGGAAUACCAUCUCCAAAUUAUGAUGUGCCAGUAAGCUGCAGUUUGCUGCGGCUUAUCCCCCUGGCAGUAGUCCUGCAAUUUGAAUCCAAAAGAUGCAGCUCUGAACCCAGUAUUUCAAAAGAAUGAGGAUGUUGUCAACUAG